rnacentral:ncRNA from 1 species
UGAGGAAUAUGGUGUCUUCUUUAAUGAAGACUUAAAAGGGAAGUUGGUGAAAAUCCAACGCGGUCCCGCCACUGUAAAUGGAAGCGAACUGCAAAAAGCCACUGUACAAUGAAUGUAUGGGAAGGCGCAGUAAGUGAUGACCAUGAGCCAGGAGACCUGCCUAAAUUC